rnacentral:rRNA from 1 species
UACGAAGGGGGCUAGCGUUGUUCGGAUUUACUGGGCGUAAAGCGCGUGUAGGCGGGUCGUUAAGUUGGGGGUGAAAUCCCGGAGCUCAACUCCGGAACUGCCUCCAAAACUGGCGACCUGGACCCAAGUAGAGGCAAGUGGAAUUCCGAGUGUAGAGGUGAAAUUCGUAGAUAUUCGGAGGAACACCAGUGGCGAAGGCGACUUGCUGGACUUGUGGUGACGCUGAGACGCGAAAGCGUGGGGAGCAAACAGG